UCUUCUACGGUUUGUUUCAAGUCAUGGUAAAAAGUAUCCUGUAGAACAGUGUUUCUCAACCUUUUUUGGGCCACGGCACACUUGUUCCAUAAAAAAAUCACGAGGCACACCACCAUUAAAAAAGUUAAAAAAAUUAACUCUGUGCCGCCCUAUAUUGACUAUAGGAAGGAGGAAAUUAAUCUCCCUCCCGCCGCCCCAUGGGAGGGGAGAAGCCUUCAGACCCCCAAUUCUCCUCUCCAGUCCAGGCAAGGCUCUGCCUGCCCCCGGAUUACAAGGGUUACCUUGGCUGCUGCUUGCGAGUAAUUCCGGACCGCGAAGCCCAGCGUCCGCCGCGCAGCCAUGGCGAAGGACGGGCGAAGGAGGCAGGGGAGGCGGAGCAACCUCGAUGCGGCUUAAGGGGGGCCGGCGGCGGAUCUGGAGCGUGCCUCCCUAGGGGGCCUCCCUAGACUCUAAAACCACCCUCCAGUCGUUUGCACUGAGCUUUGGGAAAGAGGAGGAGAAAUAUUGCUUUCCCGCGGGCCAGCGCUGGUUAUUGGCGGCCGCCAGGCAUGUGACAAUGUAAAACGCUCUUCUCGUCGCCGCACGUCGCGGCACACCAGCCAGCGUCUCGCGGCACACUAGUGUGCUGCGGAACAGCGGUUGAGAAACGCUGCUGUAGAAUACCAUGACCCCUUUCUUCAAACCUUAAUAUUUUCUAGUUCACUGAUUUCCCAGCCCUUCGAUUCCUUCCCCAGUGCAUCUAAACAUUGGCGCAACACUCCUAAGAUACAAUUUCCUUUUAUCCUUUCUGAUUGUCAAUGGGGUUUGAAGCCUCUUUAGGACAUUUGAAGAAAUGAUAUUUUGCUAUAUGCCUUGGGUAGGGUUGUUGUUUUUUUAAACAUGACUCUACUGUGUGUAAUUAAUCAUCUUGCAUCAAGUCAUUAAAAGUAAUUUCAGUAUGAGAAUCAUAGAAUUGUAGAGCUGAACGGAACAACGAGGGUCAUCUAAUCCAAAGCAGAAUUACAACUUUUUUUAAAAAAUGAAUAUAUUAUUUAUGUCAGUUCAUAAAAUGGACACAGUUGUGUCUAAGAAUAUAGAAAUGCGGGCUAAUACAAACCACAAACUUCGCUUAAAUGUUGACCAACAUCUUAUGUAUUUUUCCUGUGUGUUCUUUGCUAUCCUUUUAUCCUGGGUUUCUAACAAUGCAUAACUUGUGAAAGUUCCCCAAGUUUUCAAAUUGUGCACUUUCAAUAUUGCUUUCUCCUGCUCCAGAUUAAUGCAUUAAAUAACAUUUCAAUAUUUUUGGCUUUUUCUCACAUUUGGUAACAUGGGUUGUUGCCACUGUUCCCAUACUUUGCAGUUGGGCCAUAGGAUUGACUGGGUCUCCACCAACAAUCUUGCCACAUUUCGUUCUUAUUUCUGCUAGUUACUGCCCCUCAAAUCAUCUUUGCACAUCUCUGAUACAUGCAGGCCUCCUGGAAUUGCUUAUAUUCCUUACAUGCUCAACGCUUAUAUUCUUAUUAGCAAAUGCUAUAUUUGUGCAAAUGUUCCUAUAUGUCCAUAUUUUCUCCUAGCAGAAUUUGACACCAUUUCCUUUACACCCCCCCCCCAAAGAAACAUCAGAGGAAUAUUGAGCUGGCGGUUUGAUCUAGCUGUUUUAUGAGAUUAUAAAAUAACCAAGUGCUGUACUUAACUACUGGAUGAGAGGGAUAAUUGUUUCAUUUGUCACCAACAAUGUAUGUACAUUUGUACAGUCACUUUCCAUCCUUGCUGGUGAAAUGUCUAGAUAUUUUGGUUUGGGUGCUGGGAAAAUGUGAUAGCCACACACAAAAAUGAAAAGUAUUGGUUACUUAGCAAACUGAUUGCCAAUAACAGCACUGCCAUGAAUCAUCUUUCAUUUCAGAGGGACUUCCACCAUUCUGAGUAGGAUUGUGCCUGUUUCUGCCUUGAUGUCUUGGGCUUUUCAGCUGAGAGGUCUAUGCACGGACCAUUAAUUUCCUAUCAACAUAGGGUUUAGUGGGUCCCAGAAGAUCCCUUUAUUGAUGUUUGGCAUUUCCCCAGUCCCCGCGCAGCAUGAAACAUCACUUUACUUCAUUAUCUUUUUUGAAGGAAGUUUUAUUAGAGGAUAUACCAUUCCUUUAAUGAUGUUUGCAAUGUUAUUUUUAACUUCAUCUCUUAUGGUAGUUUGUUUAGCUAAUAGUUAGAUCUUCCUACACUUUAAAGCUCAUACUUCUGCAUGAAAUAUUAAUGGUAAAAAUAAUGAUCCACUGUUAAUGUUUCCAAUUAUGAGAAGAAAGGACUGAGGAAAAACAAUACUGAUAUUAAUUUUAUAAUAUUAUAAAUAAAUGUUGGAGCAAGUGCUGCAAACACACAGCAGUAAGAAAUAAAGUCCUUCGUAUAGCACACACAAGCAUAUCCUUCAGUUUGCUCAGGUUUAGGGUUUUGGUAGUUCAAUCAUAGUUUGUUAAAUAUGUGUGCUUUUUAAAUAUAAUUCUGAUAUCACCAAAACGAAUAUUUUAAAAUAGAUACCACAUUAAUUUUCUUUAGCAGCUAAUUGGAUAGAUACUUUUCUCCCCGAACUUUCUUUCCUGAGGCACUUUGCAUAGUUAACAUAUACUCACAAGAUAAAUUGAUAAUUGUGUGGAUUAAACCUCGUUAAUUGAAUGAUUGCUACAGAUGCAUGAACUGACUGCUACAGCUGAGCUUUUAAUAAACACAUUUUAAAAGUCCACUUCAAUUAGUAACCUUGAUUGUAAAAUCUUGUACCACCUAUUGUGAUUGUAGUGCGGAAGCCCCUCACCCUAUUUAGUUCACCUAAUGUGAUGGUUUGGAAUAUCCAGUUGCUUAGGGAAGAAAGCAGUUUGCAGUCCAGCUUCUGUAAGGAAAGAGAAAAUCAUUACAGUAGUUUGGAAUUAAAACCCCAAGCAGGUAUUGAGAACUGCUUCUGGGAUAUAGGGAUAUAGGGAUAUAGGGAAACUAUAGGACAGGGAGCCCAGAGGCAAAGAAACUUAAGAAAAAGUACCAGUCAGGUAAAGGACUGAGGAAUACAUUGGGUUUGUGAGAGGCAUAUAAUUUCAGCAGAACCUGCUGCUUUAGUAAGUGUGAUUCAGAUGCUACUACAUUGGAGGUCAGAAGCUGCUACUCAGAUUUUUUGCAAGGGAGGGCUUCAGGCUGAACUAAUAAUAAAAUGAGUUGGAUUCUAGAAAGGCAAUCAAUAGACACGGCAGUCAAUAGAAAGUAGUAUUUUUAAUAGGGUGGAACUAAAAAUAAUUUCUAAAAUACACGGGAAGUUCCGCAUGGAAAAUACAAUGGGCUGUUGAAGCAGAUAAACCACUUUAUUACUGGAAAUAAUAAUGGAAACACGGAUAAACUUUAGGCCUCGGUCCAUAAUCAAAGGUAGUGGUACACCCCGAUAUUAUUUUGAUUCAGAUAUGAUUGUGCUGAUAAAUCAAUAACAGAAAGAGACAACUUUAUUUUAGCACAUGCUGAAAAUAGGUGUGACAAACAAGGUCUCUCUCUCUGUGUGUGUGCUUGUGUGUGACUGUGCAGAUAGCUUUUGUAUAUUCUGUCACAUGGGCUUCCAGUAGACUUUCAUCCAAGGUACUGAUCUGAGCCACACUCAAAUGAACUCCAGCCGUUCUGUAGUAUUGGGUACUCCCCUGAACAAGAUAGAUAUAGAUAUUGAUAAACCUUCAGUGACAAUUGGUUCUCAGACAUUUUCUGGAAGGGAAGGUUGGUCUUCCUUCUGUACAAAAUAAUAGUUUUUGUCCCAAAUAAUGGUAAACGAAUAGAAAGGGGCUAGUUUUUCAGCAAAUUAGCUUAGCAUUGCAGGGAUUAAGGGGUGACUAAUGUUUCCACCAUUUCAAAUGUAAUAAUUUUCAAAGAAAACUAAGUACCACAUCAUUCCUAUUAAAUUGUCAUGCCUGACAUAAUGACAUUACACUGGUGAAUGAAAGAUAGCUUGCAUUUCUUAAUUUAUUGUGAUCAUAAUGCUUUUUAGAAUAAAAAAACCAGGAAGAGGAAAACAUUUAAAUAUUAACUUGCAUGUUUAGGCUGCAGUCAUCUACUCACAUGGGAGUAAGAAUUGAACUCAAUAGGGCUUCCAUCUGAAUAGAAUAAGUUGUUAGGUUAUAGCUAUAUUGAGCACAAUCCAUUUGGUACUUCUGUUGCACAUCCUUCAUUAAUUUCAGGCUUUAUGCAAACUGCAGCAAUAAGGCUGCCCAUAUCUGUCACAAGCUCCAAAAAAUGUGACCUGGCCAGGGCGAAGGAGAGGAGCUGGAAAAUGAAGGUAUUGAGUUGCUUUUGUCUCUAUUUCAAAAGCUUCUGUCAUCUAGAAAUUUCAGAAUUUCAUUUCACAUCUGUUGAGCUAUGACUGCACUUGAUGAAAAAUCCUUCACGGCUGAAGGAGCAAAUUAAAAAAAAAAUCGAUGAUAAGUUAAUGGAAGAAUAUGGAGCUGAGACAAGUGUAGCUGUAGUUUCCAGAGAACAGCAUCA